GUGUCCCUAACGAAACCAAAAUAUGGUCCAAUAAUGGCUUUUUUGAGGGAAGCACAGGGCAGUUGGGUUGUCCAAAGCCUUCUUUGGAACUUCACAGGUUUAAGAGAUGAUGGUUCAAGAGGCCCCAGUAUUAUUCAGCCAUAUAAAGGAAUACAUAAACAAAAAUGUGGCCUAGCCAUACAGUGGAAUAUUACUCAGCCAUAAAAAAAUAACAUUCUAAUACCUGCUACAACAUGGAAGAACCUUGAAGCAUGAUGCUGAGUGAAAGAAGCCAGACACAAAAGGUCAUAUGUAAUGUGAUUCCACUCAUAUGAAGUAUCCAGAAUAGGCAGGGGGAACACCUGAGGUCAGGAGUUCAAGACCAGCCUGGCCAACAUGGUGAAACCCUGUCUCUAUUAAAAAUACAAAAAUUAGCCGGGAGUGGUGGCACAUGUGUCAUUGUGCCACCUGAAGAUGGAAGUGUCAGAGGAAGGUGAGAUGUUAUUUCUGAAAGCAUCUACCCUCAGAAAGAGACAGGAGUGCAUCGCAGCUGUGUGAACCCCAGGUGGUGGUUCCAGCAGCGGGGCACGUGGUGGACACAAGACGGCCCGUCCUUGCUCCUGGGCCCCACAGAGAGUCCUUGUGCUCAGUGCACUGGCUGUGCUGCAAGAUAUCCUGGAAUUCGAAGCACACAGUGCUGGCUUGCUGUGGUACCUGUGCAAUCAAAUUGAAGGCAAGAUCACCAGGAAGGAACACAGGGCUUGCAAGAUCACGGAAAACCUUCUUGGAGUUGUUUUGACACACCACUCAUGUCAAGUGUCUGGGUACUUGUAGGAUGGCCUGCCACUCCAUGCAGGGGCAGGAGCAACAGGGAGAUCCCACAAGCAAAGUGAACUGGGGGAUGGGGUGAGUGGGCUCCAGGCAACAGAGCCCUACUGGCAGGUCCUCACCCCCUGGGCCGGAACAGGAGUGAGGGGCACAGAGUGCCCAGGUAACCGCUCCUGGGAACAGUGGGGAACUGUCAGAUGCUCGAACUUUCGAGAGCUGGGCUCUGAGUGUCCUCGUGGAGCUGCCAACUCGGCCAAAGGAGAAGCGAGCAGUUUCUUCUGUUGCCGGGCAACACACCUUUUAAACCUGAGCGAGUGGGUGUGCAUGCAAAGAACGGGCGCGAGUGACAGAGCGACUUUAACGGAUUAGCGACUUUAACGGAUUAGCACCUUAACGGAUUAGCGUGGCAAGGUAUGCAAGCAAGUCACCUGCUGGCAAUUUGGGGGUGGGGAGGGGGAGGUGCGCAAUACAUACUGGAAGGAGAAGCACGCACACAAAGGACGCAGGAAGAACAGGUGCGCACAAAGGCACAAUGGCGGCAGAUCUGCCCGUGGAUCACUGAAGAUUCCUGCUCUCCUGUUGAGGUGGAGAUUGCAGUGAACUAAGAUCACACCAUUGCGCUAGAGCCCGGGCGACAGAGCAAGACUUGGUCUCAAAAAAUAAUAAAAUAAGUACAAUAAAAUAGCAAAACAAAACAAAGUAAGAGGAGAUGAUAUCUGGAUCGUGUUUUAUGGCCAUCUGGUAAGCUAGAUUCUUUCCUUUGGUUUUAUUGCCAAUCAAUGAUUAGAAAGAAGCAGUUUGCUGUUGGCUUGUUUUUCCCCUCAACUAAAUGUAAGAAAAAAAAAAANNNNNNNNNNUCAACUAAAUGUAAGAAAAAAAAAAAGAGUCAAAAAUACCGAAGCUAAUUUUAAAAUGUAUGUAUAGAGAGAGACUUGGUCUUACCUUGUCAUCCAGGCUGGAGUGCAGUGGUGCUAUCACGGCUCAGG
rnacentral:lncRNA from 1 species